UCUCUCUCUCUCCUCUGUUUCUCUCUCUCUCUCUCUGGGAAUAGCCGAACAGGACAUGAAUACACAAUCCGAUACAUAUAGAGCAAUGUUGGGCAUUGGCAUUUGCAUGGAGACCGGCAAGUGUAGGUCACUACCUACAGUAACAAGUCAAUUGAUUGGCUCUGUUUGUUUGUAAUCCUGUUUUUCUCGUUUCUAAUUUCUGAUAGGACAGUAGGACACUGUCUUUACUCUCAUGUUAUGCUUCACCGACCUAACCUUUGUCUUUCCUUCAAGUGUACAAAGAUAAAAUAAAACCCAAAAUUUCCCACAUGGAUGUGGGUGGGUCACCUUAUCAAGGGCACCUUUGAUUCACACUUUCGACUUACUCUAUGCCACCUUACCACAUUUUCACAAGCAAAAUUCUUG
rnacentral:misc_RNA from 1 species